rnacentral:rRNA from 1 species
UCCAGACUCCUACGGGAGGCAGCAGUGGGGAAUAUUGCACAAUGGGCGCAAGCCUGAUGCAGCCAUGCCGCGUGUAUGAAGAAGGCCUUAGGGUUGUAAAGUACUUUCAGCGGGGAGGAAGGUGUUGCGGUUAAUAACCGCAGCAAUUGACGUUACCCGCAGAAGAAGCACCGGCUAACUCCGUGCCAGCAGCCGCGGUAAUACGGAGGGUGCAAGCGUUAAUCGGAAUUACUGGGCGUAAAGCGCACGCAGGCG